UACGUAGGGUGCGAGCGUUAAUCGGAAUUACUGGGCGUAAAGCGUGCGCAGGCGGUGAUGUAAGACCGAUGUGAAAUCCCCGGGCUUAACCUGGGAACUGCAUUGGUGACUGCAUCGCUCGAGUAUGGCAGAGGGGGGUGGAAUUCCACGUGUAGCAGUGAAAUGCGUAGAGAUGUGGAGGAACACCGAUGGCGAAGGCAGCCCCCUGGGCCAAUACUGACGCUCAUGCACGAAAGCGUGGGGAGCAAACAGG
rnacentral:rRNA from 1 species